ACUCACUAUGUAGCCCAGGCUCCCCCUACCUCAGCCUCCCAAGUGCUGGGAUUACAGGACUGUGCCAUUAUGCCCAGCUACUUAAAUAUCUUGAUAAAAUUCAUCCAUGUUGCCACAGGAUUUUAAUCAUAUGACAGCAAAAUACUCCUUUGUUCUACAAACUCCCUAUUUCUUGUAUCCAUCUCUUUUGAUGAAUGCCUCAGCUGUAGUAAACAGUGGAGAUGUCUUUUUGAUACACUGAUUUCAUUUUUGUUCAGUAUGGUUUUAGUAGUAGUUUCUAAUAGCUGAGAAAAAGGGGAAUACUGUUACAAUUGACUGUUUUUACUUAGAAACUUUGUAAAGUUAGCCACUUCAUGAGAUUUGUCCAAGUUUGCAGGCAAUGAAGAAUGUGGAUAUAGCUCCUUCAAUCAGCUAAUUCUGGUGAUCUGCAGCUGAGGAACAAACAAAAACUGCAAAUAAUGACUUUCUUUGACUUGAAACUGAAGAUAAGAAAUCAAGGGGAAGGUUAAAAAAAUCGUGCCUUAACAAUUUUUCUGUUAAUGUGUUAGAUUAAUUAAUUUGUAAGUGGACUUUAUAUUAAUUUGUAUUUUCCAAUGUGUAACCCUCUUUAGUGAGCUUGGCUGGACGUCUAAUUUAAAUUUUAACUAGAUUGGUGAUUUAUUGCUACUGAGGGUAUACUGGCCCUAAGUAAUGUCAAGGGUAAACAUUAGAUAACGUGCAUUAGAAAUUCUUGAAGCAAUAGUGAUAUCUACAUAAAAAUCAGAUUAAGUAAAACAUUUCAUUUGACUGAGAUAAUUACAUGGAAAAUCUGGUUUAAAAGGCUGAAGUUUUGAUAUUCUUUAUUCAGAGAACAAAAUGAUGAAAGGAUCACCAGGUACAUUGGUGUCCUUUCUUACUGCUCUGUCUCCAAAACCUUGCCUAAUAACUGACACCUAGCAUGUGCUUGAUGAAUAGUCAGCUUUUCUUGCAUUGGCAUAUUGUUAUCAAAACUAGUGAUACAAUUAACAUGAAUAAACACUGGGUACAAGAACUCUCACUGUAGUAAAUUAGAAGAUAAAUUUGGGGUCCAAUGUUACCCUUGAUUUAUUUUUAUUCCUCAUUCGUUGGGGGUUAUUCACCAAACAAGGCCAUUUUAUUAUAUUGUAUCACUUGAAACAUAGAUUUUAGGGAGAAUUAAUUUGUUUUAAACUACAGUUAUAUAUUUUGUCAGUUAUAAGUACAAUGCAUUAGCAGGUUUUGGAUGGUGUUUGGUUACAAAGGAAAAAAAAAGGAUCCUUAAAAGUUGGAUGCCCCACUUGCUUCAGGCUAGCUCACUAGAGAAUAAACCUAGGUCAUGAAAACAAAAUCAGCUGGUUUACUUGACCUUUUCUUUUGUGAUAAAUUCUGAGAUGUUAAGAGGGUAUUGCUAUCGGAAGGGGUAAAACAAUUUACAUUUUUCUGGAUAAGAGUAAUUGUACAAAAACAAGUGAAUCUAGCAUUCUUUGAACUGGAAAAUAUUGGGUUAAUCUUGUGAUUAUUGUAGUGAUUAUAUGACAUGAAUAUGAUCUACAUCUCAAUCAGAAGAAAAGAUUGAAAAAUUAUUUCUGAAAUGGAAAAAUAUGGACAGAUAAGUAAAUUAAUAAUGUAAAAUAUCAUCAUGGACUCAUUUACAUACAGAAAACACUUACUCUAAAUAUAACAUUGUGCUGUGAAUUCUAAAGGGAUUAAAACAAUUUUGCCAGCUAAGAGAAGAAAGAACUUUCUGUCAUACUUGUCCUAUAAUGGAGCCUAGAACGAGAUGGAUGCAGACAUUUCUCCUAGAAACAGCAGGCACUCUUCAUGCUCUGGAAGUGACUGUUCUUGUACCAUGUCUACAUCUGAAAAACAGGUCAUCUUUCAAGUGUAUUCACCAACUUUCAACCAGUUCGCUUGCUUUUAGCUUCAGGUACUUUCAUCCAUGCAUCUUGUAGAACAUCUUUUAAGAAGAUGAUAAACAUCAUGAGUUUCUCUUCACAGCUCUGAAGGAUGCUCUAAGUAUACAGUUCUCUAAUGUGGAGUUAAGACAGUAUAUGUGCAAGUGCGGUAUACAUAGUCAAAGGACUUUACAUUCAAUUUUGAUGUCAAAAGAUUGUUUGUGAUAAAAUUGAAGAAGACAUGUACAGAGUGUGCAACUCAAGAAAAUUGUGCAGCCGAGUCGUACAGUGCAACAAAGAGUACUGGAUUACCUGAGGAAAGAAAGGUGAAUUUCAGGUGAUGAAGAUGACAGACAUUUGAAGCUAAACUGAGUACAGCUUGUGAUAUCAUCAGUGACCUCUCCUGUUGGUGUCCCUUAAUUUAUCGGUCUUAACUACGAACCAGAGAAAUUUCUAAAAACAUCCUGGAGAGCCCCUUAUGUGCUACCUUAGCUGUUUCAUGUGAGUGGUGAUUACUGAGAAGGGGCCCUUGCCAUUGCUGCUACCGAUCACUUCAUCAGAGUCUUCAUAAUUCUCAGAGACUUCCCACGGUAACAUGUUGCCAUUGAUGGUCAUUGCUGCAGAGAAAAAUUGGACUGAACUCUACUCUUUGGAAAGACCUAAAAGUUGUCAUUGCAGAGUAUAUUUACUGGUCAUAGGAAUGAUUUUUAUUGUUGAGGAUGGACUCAAUCUUAGGAGUGAGAAUGGUGUCUAUAUUACUACAGAAAGAAGUUUGACGUGAUGGAAUUCAAGGGCUUCAUCUCAACGCUUCCAUAAGUUGAUACAGUUCUUUUUCAAGUGAGAAAAAUGCAGCUUUAAUUUUACUCGCAUGAAAUGUAAUAAAUAAUAGUGAGAAUAGAGUGCUUUAAAUUUGAGUCUUCCUAUCCAAACAAGCUUCUUUUACAAGCCAAGGACCAAAAAGAUCUUUCUUCGAGGUGGCGCACGUGUUCAGAAGUGCAGUAUCUAUAUAUAUAUGUGUAUAUGUGUGUAUACCUUCUGCACUGGUUUCAUCCACAGCAUCACCCAAAUAUUUCAUUAUGCCUCCUAUCUGGGACCUUUUUGCUGUCACAACUUUUAUAGAAGCAUGCCAGGAAUAGAAGUGACCUGCUUUUUGGCAAACGAUUGCCUGGAAUACUCAGUACUUGUCUCUGUUCUAAAUAUGUCUUUAUUUCUAUCUCUUGUGAUACAUUAAAAUUGUAUUUUUAUUUUGCAAUUGAAAGACAGUUGUUUGUGUGUGGGAAUUGUAAUUAAUGUGACCCCAUGGACAAUUAAAUUAUGUCGUGUGUUAUAGGUAGGCUUUCUCACUAGCUCAGUGCCUUCUGUAUGCCAGUUGUAUUUCCAUUUGUAUGGUACUUUCCUACACAUUUACAUUAGAAACACAGCUUUUAGGAAGCUGUUAAACUUAAUCUGAGGACCUUGAUUUAUCUAGCCUAGAUUGUAUUUGCCCUUCUGGUGAUUUUUGUGGGUUGGAGUCUGGGUUAGGAUCUGAGAUUGACUGCCAUUCUACUCUGCAGUGCUGAAGGCUAAGAUGUGUUGUAUGAGCAGUGCAGCUUUAGGGGAAAGCUAGGUCUUUGCACUGAUGUGUAGAGCUUGGUGGUAUGAUUUUGUACAGCAUGCGGUGCCAUCAUUCUUAUGAGUACUAUAAUGUGUUCAUUUUUUGAGGUUGGAAUAAAAAGCAGCAGUGUACUAAAGAGAUUUUAGUAUAUAACAUAUUAACUUGAUUUCUUUUUUCUUAUUUUUUUUCCCUUAACCUAAGUGAGGGUAAUAUAAAUAUGCUUAUAUUAAAUUUUAUUAAAUUUUAAUUGUCUACUUCUGGAUCAUAAAUUGCACUUUCCAUUACAGAACUAAGUACAUUGCCCAGUGUAUCUUAAUAGACUGGUUUGUACAAUGGAUUCAUCCAAAAAUACCACCUCUUGUGCCAGUCUUAGAAAUACAAACAAGAUUUUAAGAUAUAUGAUAAUCCUUUAACUUGAAAGGCUGUGGUUGCACAAAUUUUAUAAAUGUGUGGGGAUCCCUUGUCUCCUUUCUCAUUAUAUUAUUUUGUUCUGCUAGCCUGUAUUCCGAGGGAUGAUUCCAUUUCUUUUAUAAUAUUUAUUUUACAUGCAGUGAAGUUAUUUUGUAAUGUCAGUAUUUCCAUUGUUUCUUAUGUUCAUGUUUUUCAAGAUCAAGCGUCAUAAUCAAAUGCCUUCAAGUUGCAUGAAAUGGAAAGUAGUAGCCAGCAAUACCUUAUUUUAUAUUCUAUGUUGUGCUUCUGCACUUGUUAACAUUGCAGCUAAGCAGAUGGGUUAUUGUAGUGUGAAAGCAGAUCUGACCAGUUAAUAAAUGGAUGUGUAUUAUGUGUUACAAUGAAACUUAACCAAGGGAAAGGAGCAGGUAAUGGGCCAGCUUUAAGCCCACAGGCUAUAGUUUCAUGACUCUUGACCUAAAAUGCGCAUUUAGGUUUAUGUUGAUAAGUGCCUAGACUUAGAAAGCAGAGGAAAAAGAAAAUCAUUCCUUUGUCAGUUUUAUGAAUCUUAAACAUUAAUAAAAUUGGAGUUAAAAU